UACAGAGGUCUCAAGCGUUUGUUCGGAUUCAUUGGGCGUAAAGGGUGCGUAGGUGGCGCCGUAAGUCGGGGUGUGAAAUUUCGGAGCUUAACUCCGAAACUGCAUUCGAUACUGCCGUGCUUGAGGACUGGAGAGGAGACUGGAAUUUACGGUGUAGCGGUGAAAUGCGUAGAUAUCGUAAGGAAGACCAGUGGCGAAGGCGGGUCUCUGGACAGUUCCUGACACUGAGGCACGAAGGCCAGGGGAGCAAACGGG
rnacentral:rRNA from 1 species